rnacentral:lncRNA from 1 species
AUGUCUGAAUAUAUUCGGGUAACCAAAGAUGAGAACAAUGAGCCCAUUUAAAUACCUUCAGAGGACGAAGGGACGGUGCUGCUGUCCACUGUUACAGCCCAGGGGCACAUGGGCUUUGCUACAGGAAUCCAGUGUCUCAAUGUAUGAGAGGUUUCCGGCUGGUAGAAGGAAUUCUACAUGCCCCCGAUGCUGGCUGGGGAAAUCUGGUGUAUGUUUUCAACUAUCCCAAAGACAACAAAAGCAAAAUGGAUGAGACAGAUGCUUCAUCAGCAGUGAAAGUGAAAAGUUUUGGGUGUCCCGUGGAAAACAACUGAACAGGAUCUGAAAGAAUAUUUUAGUACCUUUGGAGAAGUUCUUACGGUGCAGGUCAAGAAAGAUAUUAAGACUGGUCAUUCAAAGGGGUUUGGCUUUAUUCAUUUUAUAGAAUAUGAAACACAGGUGAAAGUAAUGUCACAUUGACAUAUGAUGGAUGGACAAUGGUGUGACUGUAAACUUGCUAAUUCUAAGCAAAGCCCAGAUGAACAUUGAGAAGCAGAAAAGUGUUUUUGGGGCAGUACAGAGAACAUAACUGUGGAUGAGCUGUCGCAGUUCUUCUGUCAGUACGGGGAAGUGGUGGAUGUCUUCAUCCCCAAGCCGUUCAGGGCCUUUGCCUUUGUUACAUUUGCAGAUGAUCAGGUUGCUCAAUCUCUCUCUUUUUUUAAUUUUUAUUAUACUUUAUGUUCUAGGGACUUGAUCAUUAAAGGAAUCAGUGUUAAAAUACCCAAUGCCAACCUAAGCACAAUAGCAAUAGAAAGAAGUGGAAGAUUUGGUGGUAAUCCAGGUGGCUUUGGGAAUCAGGGUGGAUUUGGUAAUAGUAGAGGGGAUGGAGCUGGUUUGGGAAACAACCAAGGUAGUAUUAUGGGUGGUGGGAUAAACUUUGGUGAGUUCAGCAUUAAUCCAGCCAUGAUGGCUGCAGCCCAGGCAGUGCUACAGAGCAGUUGGGGUAUCAUGGGCAUGUUAGCCAGCCAGCAGAGCCAGUCAGGCCCAUUGUGUAAUAACCAAAGCCAAGGCAACAUGCAGAGGGAGCCAAACCAGGCCUUCGAUUCUGGAAAUAACUCAUAGUGGUUCUAAUUCUGGGGCAGCAAUUGGUUGGGGAUCAGCAUCAAAAGCAGGGUGGGGCAGUGGUUUUAAAGAAGGCUUUGGCUCAAGCAUGGAUUCUAAGUCUUCUGGCUGGGGAAUGUAGAUGGUGGGGUUGUGGUUGCUUGGUACAGAAUGGUGGGAAUUCAAAUUUUUCUAAACUCAUGGUAAGUAUAUUGUAAAAUACAUAUGUACUAAGAAUUUUCAAAAUUGGUUUGUUCAGUGUGUAGUAUAUUCAGUAGUAUUUUUGACAUUUUUCUUUAGAAAAAAGAAGAGCUAAAGGAAUUUUA